GUUACAGUGUUGCUAAAAAAGGAAAGGGAUUUUUUUUACUCUUUUUGAAACGGAGGGAGUAAUUUAGUUUGAUUCACAUUAUGGUUAUAAUGUUAAAUUAAUUAGUUCAUAAUUAAGUUAAUCAUUUUAUUUUAUUAAAAUUAAGAAUCUUAGUUAAUCGAUAGUAAUUCAUCUUAUUUAAUUUUACCCAAAUUUAUGAAUUAUAUUCAAUUUGGCUAAGCUUGUUAAUUGGUUAUAAUUGUAAUCCAUCUAACCAUUUUGAAAUUAAAAUUUUAGACCUUUUUUUUUACCUUCGAGUCGAAACCAAAUUUGGGCCAAUCUCACUUUUCCAUUUUCUCCCAGCCAGCCCACUUCUCCAGUCCAGCAAAUACGCAAUAACAAUUUUUCCUCACUUUACCCCAAUAGAAAAAAUUAUUAUUUUUUAUUAAAUAAUUAUUAAUUUUAGUGAUAUUUUUUUCUUUCUUUUUAUUAUUUAUUACUCUUUACUUUUAUUUAUAUUUUUAUUUUUAUAUUAGAAGUGACUUGAUUCAACAUGCCUACUUUAUUAUUUUAAAUGGUAUUUAAGUCUUUUUAGCUUUAUCUUAUAGUUACGUGUUUUCUUUGUGUGUUAUCAUCCUUUGUCUUUUCAGCUCCAUAUUAUAGCUACGUGUCAUCCAUCUGUAUUAGAAGUGGCUUGAUUCAACAUACCUACUUUAUUAUUCUAAAUGGUAUUUCAGUCUUUUUAGCUUUAUAUUAUAGUUAUUUGUCUUCUUUCUGUGUUAUCAUCCUUGUCUUUUAAGCUCCAUAUUAUAGCUACGUGUCUUCUAUCUGUAUAGUCAAUUUAUUUUCUGUGUCUUCAUCAUUUAUACACCACCGUUUUUUCGACAUUAUAUGCAGGUUAGACUCUUUCAUUUUUUCAUUGAGAUUUUUGUAUCAUCUUUCUUUUCCUCAUAAUGAAGUUGAGACAUAUUUCACCAUUUUAUCUUUCUUUGACCAUAUUUGAUUGGGUGUGUGAAUAUUCAAAAUUUGAUCUCGUUGCAUUCUUUGAAAGGAUUUUGAUGAUCUACUAGACUAGAAAACAUCAUAUAAAAGUGUCUUGGGUUGAUCACUUUUGAACAACUAUGAAAUAUGUCCAGUGUCUGAUUUGGAUAGUACUAUUGUUUUGUAAUGGAUCUUGUCAAGUACAAUUGUUAUGUCACUAUUAUAACAUAACUGGUAGGGCUUUGUGUUAAAAAGUCAUUACUUUAUGCCUAGAUUUGAAUCCCAAUAAGAUGCCUCAAUAGUCAAAUAUCCUAUUUUAUGUUAAUAUAACACUCAUUUUCUUCCUAACAAAAUAAUCAAAUUAUGCAACUUAGCAUAUAUAUUGUCAACAUUUCUUCUACAACUGAUGCUUUCUCCUUUUGUUAUUAACAUAAUUUGUACUACUUUUCUGCAUUGCACCACUCUUUUAUCCAUUCAACUGUUACAAAUGUAGAUGGCGUUCACUUCUGUUGUUGAUAGCUUGGACUCUGCUGCCUGCUUGUUUCUUGGAAAUUGUCAGUUAAUUAGAUUUUGCAAUCACUCAUAAAUUUUGAAAUGAUAUGCUACUAUAAUUCUCAUUUACUCCUCAUAUCUACAUACUAAAUUUAUAUUCCGUAUUAUUUCACAGAUACUUUCUGUCUAGACUGAAAAAUAAUAGCGUGGAAUGUAAAUAACACAACCAUGACAAUAAACGAAAUAACUGAUAUUAUAAUAUCUAUA